rfam:Triticum aestivum genome assembly, contig: Triticum_aestivum_CS42_TGACv1_scaffold_621445_7DS
UACGUACUCCCUCCGUUCCAAAUUACUUGACCCAUAUUUAUCUAAACAGAGAUGUAUCUAGACACUAAACAAGUAUAGAUACAUCCGUAUUUAGAUAAAUUCAAGUCAACUAAUUUGGAAAGGAGGGAAUACAUA